CCUACGGGGGGCUGCAGUAAGGAAUCUUCCGCAAUGCACGAAAGUGUGACGGAGCGACGCCGAGUGAAGGAUGAAGUUCUUCGGAAUGUAAACUUCUAAAAUCUGUUAGAAAGUUCUGAUCAGCAGACUAUAAGUGGCGACUAACUCUGUGCCAGCAGUCGCGGUAAUACAGAGGCCACGAGCGUUAGGCGGAAUCACUGGGCUUAAAGCGUGUGUAGGUGGAUCGGUAAGUACCUUGUAAAAUCCCACAGCUCAACUGUGGAACUGCUCGGUAUACUGCCAGUCUUGAGGCACUCAGGGGCGAGCGGAACAAGUGGUGGAGCGGUGAAAUGCGUAGAUAUCACUUGGAACGCCAAUGGUGAAGACAGCUCGCUGGGGGUGAACUGACACUGAGACACGAAAGCCAGGGGAGCGAACGGGAUUAGAUACCCCGGUAGUC
rnacentral:rRNA from 1 species